CACAUGCAAGUCGAGCGGGGAAGGGUAGCUUGCUACCUGACCUAGCGGCGGACGGGUGAGUAAUGCUUAGGAAUCUGCCUAUUAGUGGGGGACAACAUUCCGAAAGGAAUGCUAAUACCGCAUACGCCCUACGGGGGAAAGCAGGGGAUCUUCGGACCUUGCGCUAAUAGAUGAGCCUAAGUCAGAUUAGCUAGUUGGUGGGGUAAAGGCCUACCAAGGCGACGAUCUGUAGCGGGUCUGAGAGGAUGAUCCGCCACACUGGGACUGAGACACGGCCCAGACUCCUACGGGAGGCAGCAGUGGGGAAUAUUGGACAAUGGGCGAAAGCCUGAUCCAGCCAUGCCGCGUGUGUGAAGAAGGCCUUUUGGUUGUAAAGCACUUUAAGCGAGGAGGAGGCUACUGAGAUUAAUACUCUAGGAUAGUGGACGUUACUCGCAGAAUAAGCACCGGCUAACUCUGUGCCAGCAGCCGCGGUAAUACAGAGGGUGCGAGCGUUAAUCGGAUUUACUGGGCGUAAAGCGUGCGUAGGCGGCUUCUUAAGUCGGAUGUGAAAUCCCUGAGCUUAACUUAGGAAUUGCAUUCGAUACUGGGAAGCUAGAGUAUGGGAGAGGAUGGUAGAAUUCCAGGUGUAGCGGUGAAAUGCGUUAAGAUCUGGAGGAAUUACGAUGGCGAAGGCAGC
rnacentral:rRNA from 1 species